CCUACGGGAGGCAGCAGUGAGGAAUAUUGGUCAAUGGCCGGAAGGCUGAACCAGCCAUGCCGCGUGAAGGUCAGUGCCCUAUGGGCGUUAAACUUCUUUUGUGCGGGAGCAAUAAUGGUCACGUGUGGCCAGACGAGAGUACCGUACGAAUAAGCAUCGGCUAACUCCGUGCCAGCAGCCGCGGUAAUACGGGGGAUGCAAGCGUUAUCCGGAUUUAUUGGGUUUAAAGGGUGCGUAGGGUGUGAGGUAAGUCAGCGGUGAAAUGCCGCCGCUCAACGGGGUGAAGUGCCAUUGAUACUGCCUGGCUGGAGUGCGGAUGCGGUAGGAGGAAUGUGUGGUGUAGCGGUGAAAUGCAUAGAUAUCACACAGAACACCGAUUGCGAAGGCAUCUCACGAAUCCGCGAUUGACGCUGAUGCACGAAAGCGUGGGUAUCAAACAGGAUUAGAUACCCGGGUAGUC
rnacentral:rRNA from 1 species